UACGUAGGGGGCAAGCGUUGUCCGGAAUCAUUGGGCGUAAGCGUGUGUAGGCGCCAGAAAAGUCCGCUGUGAAGACUCGAGGCUCAACUUCGAGCUGUCGGUGGAAACUUUCUGGCUAGAGUCCGGAAGAGGAGAAUGGAAUUCCUGGUGUAGCGGUGAAAUGCGCAGAUAUCAGGAGGAACACCGGUGGCGAAGGCGGCUUGCUGGGCCAGUUCUGACGCUGAGGAGCGAAAGCGUGGGGAGCGAACAGG
rnacentral:rRNA from 1 species